GCAAGUCGAGCGAACGGACGAGAAGCUUGCUUCUCUGAUGUUAGCGGCGGACGGGUGAGUAACACGUGGAUAACCUACCUAUAAGACUGGGAUAACUUCGGGAAACCGGAGCUAAUACCGGAUAAUAUUUUGAACCGCAUGGUUCAAAAGUGAAAGACGGUCUUGCUGUCACUUAUAGAUGGAUCCGCGCUGCAUUAGCUAGUUGGUAAGGUAACGGCUUACCAAGGCAACGAUGCAUAGCCGACCUGAGAGGGUGAUCGGCCACACUGGAACUGAGACACGGUCCAGACUCCUACGGGAGGCAGCAGUAGGGAAUCUUCCGCAAUGGGCGAAAGCCUGACGGAGCAACGCCGCGUGAGUGAUGAAGGUCUUCGGAUCGUAAAACUCUGUUAUUAGGGAAGAACAUAUGUGUAAGUAACUGUGCACAUCUUGACGGUACCUAAUCAGAAAGCCACGGCUAACUACGUGCCAGCAGCCGCGGUAAUACGUAGGUGGCAAGCGUUAUCCGGAAUUAUUGGGCGUAAAGCGCGCGUAGGCGGUUUUUUAAGUCUGAUGUGAAAGCCCACGGCUCAACCGUGGAGGGUCAUUGGAAACUGGAAAACUUGAGUGCAGAAGAGGAAAGUGGAAUUCCAUGUGUAGCGGUGAAAUGCGCAGAGAUAUGGAGGAACACCAGUGGCGAAGGCGACUUUCUGGUCUGUAACUGACGCUGAUGUGCGAAAGCGUGGGGAUCAAACAGGAUUAGAUACCCUGGUAGUCCACGCCGUAAACGAUGAGUGCUAAGUGUUAGGGGGUUUCCGCCCCUUAGUGCUGCAGCUAACGCAUUAAGCACUCCGCCUGGGGAGUACGACCGCAAGGUUGAAACUCAAAGGAAUUGACGGGGACCCGCACAAGCGGUGGAGCAUGUGGUUUAAUUCGAAGCAACGCGAAGAACCUUACCAAAUCUUGACAUCCUUUGACAACUCUAGAGAUAGAGCUUUCCCCUUCGGGGGACAAAGUGACAGGUGGUGCAUGGUUGUCGUCAGCUCGUGUCGUGAGAUGUUGGGUUAAGUCCCGCAACGAGCGCAACCCUUAAGCUUAGUUGCCAUCAUUAAGUUGGGCACUCUAAGUUGACUGCCGGUGACAAACCGGAGGAAGGUGGGGAUGACGUCAAAUCAUCAUGCCCCUUAUGAUUUGGGCUACACACGUGCUACAAUGGACAAUACAAAGGGCAGCGAAACCGCGAGGUCAAGCAAAUCCCAUAAAGUUGUUCUCAGUUCGGAUUGUAGUCUGCAACUCGACUACAUGAAGCUGGAAUCGCUAGUAAUCGUAGAUCAGCAUGCUACGGUGAAUACGUUCCCGGGUCUUGUACACACCGCCCGUCACACCACGAGAGUUUGUAACACCCGAAGCCGGUGGAGUAA
rnacentral:rRNA from 1 species